rnacentral:rRNA from 1 species
GAUGAACGCUAGCGGCAGGCUUAAUACAUGCAAGUCAAGGGGUAGCAAUACAACCGGCGCACGGGUGAGUAACGCGUACACAACAUACCAUAUACUGGAGUAUAGCUUUGGGAAACUGAAGGUAAUCCUCCAUAACAUUGCGAGAGGGCAUCUGAUUGCAAUUAAAGUUCCGGCGGUAUAUGAUUGGUGUGCGUUUGAUUAGCUAGUUGGUAGGGUAACGGCCUACCAAGGCGACGAUCAAUAGCUGGCGUGAGAGCGCGACCAGCCACACUGGAACUGAGACACGGUCCAGACUCCUACGGGAGGCAGCAGUAGGGAAUAUUGGACAAUGGGCGAAAGCCUGAUCCAGCCAUGCCGCGUGAUAGAUGAAGGCCCUCUGGGUUGUAAAUAUCUUUUAUCUGGGAAGAAACUCCUCUAUUCUUAGAGGCCUGACGGUACCAGAGGAAUAAGCACCGGCUAACUCCGUGCCAGCAGCCGCGGUAAAGUA